rnacentral:rRNA from 1 species
GACGAACGCUGGCGGCGUGGAUUAGGCAUGCAAGUCGGACGGUAGGGCUUUAUCGUAAGAUAGAGUUUGAGAGUGGCGAACGGGUGAGUAACACGUAGGAAUCUACCCUUAAGACGGGGACAACCCAGGGAAACUUGGGCUAAUACCGGAUGAGAGUGCGAGAGAUUGCAUUUAAAAGGAUGGCGAAAGUUGUCGCUUAGGGAUGAGCCUGCGGUCUAUUAGCUAGUUGGCGGGGUAAUGGCCCACCAAGGCGACGAUCGAUAGCUGGUCUGAGAGGAUGAUCAGCCACACUGGAACUGAGACACGGUCCAGACUCCUACGGGAGGCAGGCAGUAGGGAAUAUUGGACAAUGGGCGCAAGCCUGAUCCAGCCAUGCCGCGUGAGUGAAGAAGGCCCUCGGGUUGUAAAGCUCUUUUGUUGGGGAAGAAAGCAGUUGGUUAAUACCGAUUGUUCUGACGGUACCAAAGAUAAGCACCGGCUAACUUCGUGCCAGCAGCCGCGGUAA